UGGGGAAUAUUGCACAAUGGGCGCAAGCCUGAUGCAGCCAUGCCGCGUGUAUGAAGAAGGCAUUCGGGUUGUAAAGUACUUUCAGCGGGGAGGAAGGAAGUAAAGUUAAUACCUUUGCUCAUUGACGUUACCCGCAGAAGAAGCACCGGCUAACUCCGUGCCAGCAGCCGCGGUAAUACGGAGGGUGCAAGCGUUAAUCGGAAUUACUGGGCGUAAAGCGCACGCAGGCGGUUUGUUAAGUCAGAUGUGAAAUCCCCGGGCUCAACCUGGGAACAGCGUCUGAGACUGGCAAGCAUGAGUGUCGUAGAGGGGGGUAGAAUUCCAGGUGUAGAGGUGAAAUGCGUGGAGAUCUGGAAGAAUACCGGUGGCGAAGGCGGCCCCCUGGACGAAGACUGACGCUCAGGUGCGAAAGCGUGGGGAGCAAACAGG
rnacentral:rRNA from 1 species